CCUACGGGAGGCAGCAGUGGGGAAUUUUGCGCAAUGGGGGCAACCCUGACGCAGCAACGCCGCGUGAGUGAUGAAGGCCUUCGGGUUGUAAAACUCUGUCUUCAGGGAAGAAAGAGAUGACGGUACCUGAGGAGGAAGCCACGGCUAACUACGUGCCAGCAGCCGCGGUAAUACGUAGGUGGCAAGCGUUGUCCGGAAUUACUGGGCGUAAAGAGCGCGUAGGCGGGGAUUUAAGUCAGGAGUGAAAACUGCGGGCUCAACCUGCAGCCUGCUCUUGAAACUGGAUUUCUUGAGGGUAUGAGAGGAAAGCGGAAUCCCCAGUGUAGCGGUAAAAUGCGUAGAUAUUGGGAGGAACACCAGUGGCGAGGGCGGCUUUCUGGAAUACAACUGACGCUGAGGCGCGAAAGCGGGGGGAGCGAACGGGAUUAGAUACCCCUGUAGU
rnacentral:rRNA from 1 species